GGUUAUUGAAGACAUUGAUGAUGACAUUGUUGUUGGAGGUAGAGUUGAUGUUAGGACCAGGGAACUGGCCGUUGAUUAGAAUGACUUGUUGUGGAACGCCUAGAGGAGAGGCGGUUCCAUAGGUCACGUUCCAUACAUGGUGGAAGUAAGGGUCUUCUGCUCGGACCACCACCGUUGCAGCUGCGGCCAAGUAGAGACACGCGGCUAAGAGUUUAACCCCUCGCAUAUACAAUUUUUAUGUUUUUUCGUGGAGGGUAUUAAUUGAUUAUUGUUAUUGGAUUAUGUUUUGAGGUUUGAAUUUCGAGUUGUGGAAAUGUUUGAGAGCAUUUUUAUAGGGAUUGUAAGACGAAUGUUUUCUCCUGCUUUUUCUGGUCUUGUUUGGGUCUCCUCUCAUUUCGCUAUUUUUUUGUCCAUAUUUGGGAUAUUGAAGGUCAACCACUCCCUAUUUUUGGUGUUUAAUUUUUUUUUCUAUGUUUGGCUUUGGUUUCCAUGUCUUUGAAACUUUUUUCUGUUUUGGAUAUUUUUGAAAAAUUAUGAGAGAGCCAAACUUUAGUCAUAUGAUGAAACUUAAAAGUUAUAGAGAUAUACAAGUCAUUCUAAUCAACAGCCAAUUCCCUGUUCCAAGACCUCCAAUAACAGUAUCAUAGUUGUAUAAAACAAAAAGCAAUUAGCUAGAGAUAUCUUAUAUUACAUGCAAGUUGAUGAGUAGUCUGAAUAAAAGUUGACACAUACUAAAAUGAUAAAUAGAAACAAGUAUACACUUGAAAUUUCAAUUGAGGACAAUAAUAGCUAAAGAGGAAAUAACAGGAUCUAGACUAGCAGAUCCGUAGAGAUCUCUAGUUAGAUUGACCACGUUCACCAUAACUUGCAUGACCACGGUUUUAUAGACCACUCUAGGAUCAGUAGAGAUCUUUAUUUAGUUUUUUUUUUUUAUGUUGCACCAUCAUCAGUUCAUAUACUGAUCAUUUUACUCUCACAAAAGAUAACGGCUGAUCCAAGCCAGGAAGUGAAUGGGCAGCAUCCAAGUGGACUGUAAAUCCCGUCAAAUUCAUAUCUGAUACUAUUCAGAGGGUGCAAUGUGUAAAAAGAAUAAGCACUUAAAACCAACAUAAAUUCAGCGAUAAAUUACAUAUAUCACUUUGUAUAUAUCUAUUUUCAUCUAAACUUAGCGCAUAUAGCUCGUGUUGGAGUUAUUGACAUUUCUCAUAUAAACAAUUUUCUACUUAUGAAUCAUGUAUAAGUGGUCUCUAGUAAUCCAAAAUGUUGGGUUUGACAUUUAGACCGACUCACAUCUCAAGAGGGCUUAUUAAGUGUGACAUUUUUUUGGAAAAAAAAGAUUUGGAUAAUAUAUAUAUAUAUAUAAAUAAGUAAUGUGACAAAUCUUUUAUUUUUGAGUUAGAUUUUGAUGUGAUAAUCCGAAAUGAUGGGUUUUUACAUGUUUCCAUUAGACAGUUUCAACUCGCAUCUCAAGACUCAAGAGGGCCUAUUAAUGUCUUACAUUGUUUGGAUAAAGAAGAUUUGGAUAAAGUAAUGUGACAAUCUUUUAUUUUUGAGUUAGAUUUUGGAUGUGAAUUAGACCAAUUAUUAGUAGGAAUGAAGAGACAUGUCUAUGUGUUACACCAAAAAAAAAGAUAAGAAAAAGAAGAAACAUGUCUCUACGCAAUGUUCCUAGAAUACUAGCUUUUGUUUUUUGAAAUAUAUGUAUCAAGAAUAAAAAUGCGAGUCCUUAAUCUUAAACUUACAAACUGUAGUAACUUAUGUAGUUUUGUUAGGAGACCAAAACAUUUUUCCGUGUGUAUACAGUAGCUAAAGCAUGUUAAAACAAACAAAUAACUUCAUGACACACUUUGUGAGUUAGUUAAUUUAGCAUCGUUUGAGAAUAUUUCCAUUAUUAGAAUAUGACCCGAGUUGUGUGUUUGUUCAAAACGUUGAAACCCAUGAGAACCAAAGAAAGUGAUUCAAAAAUAGAACUUACACAUAUAGUAAAAAUAACAAAAAAGGAACAAAGAAUUAGAGAUGAAGCGUAAGAUUAGGCAGCGAUUCCGUGCAAACCAAGGUACUUUCACCUGCAUAAAUAGUUAAUCACGACACCAUCCAAAAAAACUCGUCAAGAGCAAGAGAACAUAGUCUCUUCUUGCUUUUGAGAAAAAAAUAAUUUUUAUGUAGGAAAGGGUUAAUUUAUCAAUAAAAAUAUAUAAAAAGAAGUAGAAAAGAGAUAAUGCAGGGUGGUAAGCUUUUAACGGUGUUUGUGUGCCUUGUCUCGACGGUGGCGCUGGUGAACGCCGGCGAUCCUUACUUCUACUACACGUGGAACGUGACGUACGGAACCGCCUCGCCUCUCGGAAUCCCUCAACAGGUGAUUCUCAUCAACGGACAGUUCCCUGGUCCUAACCUAAACUCUACAUCUAACAACAAUGUCGUCAUCAAUGUCUUUAACAACCUUGACGAGCCUUUCCUCUUGACCUGGUUAGUAACCAUUUCCUCUCGUUUCUUGUUUACUAAUUACGCGUUUUUGCAUGAGCAUAUUGUUUUGAAGAUCAAAUAAUAUUUUGAACGAUACAAAACAUUUUUUUUUCAUUUUAAUACACUUUCUUACAAAGGUCAUACGCCAAAUGCAAAAAUAACUUCUCAAAUCGUUUGAUGUUUUCAUUUUACAAUUUACAAAUCAAUAUUUUUUCCACAUAUUUAAGAUUGGACAUUCAUUUGAAAAUAGAAAAUAUGUCUUGGUUAAGUUAUGUUAUUUUGUUUCUUGGUUUUUAGUUUGAAAAAUUCAUAACUAAAUUUAAAUCAAAAUCUUUUUGGAUCAUUCAAUUAAUUGGUUUAAGAAAAGUUUGUUUAAUUUCCGUUCAGAUAGUAGUUUCUUUAACAACAAGUGUUAUAUUAAUUUCACAUAAUGAUAUCUAUAUAUAAUAUGUAUACAAAUAAAAUGUAAUAUUUUAGUUUGGUUUAGUUUAGUUUUGAUUUUAGAUUUGUUUUGCAUUAGGUUUGGUUAUAUGGCUACAACUAUACAUGUCUAGUUUUCAUUGUAACUUUGGAUAUUGAGUCCUGACUAACUAUGGGUUCGGUGACAUGGCAGGAGUGGUCUCCAGCACAGGAAGAACUCAUGGCAAGAUGGUGUGACUGGGACCUCAUGCCCAAUCCCAGCAGGCACCAACUACACUUACCACUUCCAGCCAAAGGACCAGAUCGGUAGUUACUUCUACUACCCAUCCACCGCUCUCCACCGUUUCUCCGGUGGUUUCGGUGGCCUCCGUGUCAACAGCCGUCUCCUCAUCCCCGUCCCUUACGCUGACCCCGAAGACGACUACACCGUCCUCAUCAACGACUGGUACACCAAGAGCCACACCGCUCUCAAGACCUUCCUCGACAGUGGCCGUACUCUUGGCUCCCCUGACGGCGUUCUCAUCAACGGUAAGUCCGGCAAAGUCGGAGGACAGGACAAGCCACUCUUCACCAUGAAGCCAGGAAAGACAUACAAGUACAGAAUCUGUAACGUUGGAUUCAAGUCCACUCUUAACUUCAGGAUCCAAGGACACAAGAUGAAGCUUGUUGAGAUGGAAGGCUCCCACGUUCUCCAAAACGACUACGACUCACUAGACGUCCACGUCGGACAGUGCUUUGCUGUUCUUGUCACCGCUGACCAAGCGGCUAAGAACUACUACAUGGUUGCAUCCACUAGGUUCCUCAAGAAGGAAGUGAGCACUGUUGGUGUGAUGAGCUACGACAACGGAGUUUCGGGCUCUGUGUGGGAGACUCCGUUCAAUGCGUACCUAAGCUUACCAUCGAUUUUUCCCUGAGUGUUCACGAGCUUGAUUGUGCGUGUGAUGUUGAUCUUUCCAUAGUGGUAGGAUCCCUGAGGGUUAGGCCUAGCUGCACUUGCGGUCAAGUUCCACCUGAAUGAUCGGAACUGGUUCAACGACCAAGCCCAUCCAACAGGACCAGCUGGAAGCUGUGAAGAGGCGGGUCCUUUGCCUCCUUCGUAGCGGAGAAGUCCCGUUGUUGUAAUAACCUUCUUCAAGAACCUAGUGGAUGCAACCAUGUAGUAAUCUUUAGGUUCUUGAUUAGCGGCAACGAUGGUACCAUAGCACUGACCAACGUGAACGUCCAAAGAGUCGUAAUCGUUUUGAAGAACGUGAGAUCCUUCCAUUUCAACGAGCUUCAUUUUGUGAUUCUGAAUCCUAAAGUUGAGGGAUGUCUUGAUACCCACGUUACAGAUCCUAACCCUGUAAGUCUUUCCAGGUUUCAAGGUGAAGAGAGGUGCAUCGGAUCCAUCGCCUUUCCCGGACUUUCCGUUGAUGACAAUACCGUCUGGACGACCAAUAGUACGACCACCGUCGAGGAAUUUCUUUAACUGAGUGUGGCUCUUAGUGAACCAGUCACCGAUGAGGACGGUGUAGUCAUCUUCUGGAUCAGCAUAAGGGACUGGGAUGAGGAGACGGCUGUUGACACGGAGACCACCGUAUCCACCAGCAGCACGGUGCAUACCAGUGGUCGGGUAAUAGAAAUAGCUUCCGAUCUGAUCCUUAGGCUGGAAAUGGUAUGUGUAGUUGGUGCCGGGCAUGAUUGGACACAUGGUCCCUUGUGUCCCAUCUUGCCAACAGUUCUUCCUGUGUUGGAUACCAUUCCUAAAAUAGGCAAGAUACAUAUUAUUAAAAAAUCAGUGUUCUAAAAAUCGGUUUAGCGCCAUAUAACAAAACAAUAAAUUUUCUAAGGAUCAGAUCAGUUUAAAAAAUCGGUUUAAAUGUCCGGCACUAAUUCUGUAUAGAACAUUUAAUGAUCGUCUAUUGAUUUUCUUAACAUUGAUUAAAACACAUGCAUAUAAAUCGAGAAAUGCUGUUUGUAGAUAUUAUUUUGGUUAAAUUAAUGAUUAUUACCAAGUGAGGAGGAAGGGUUCGUCUAGGUUAUUGAAGACAUUGAUGAUGACAUUGUUGUUGGAGGUAGAGUUGAUGUUAGGACCAGGGAACUGGCCGUUGAUUAGAAUGACUUGUUGUGGAACGCCUAGAGGAGAGGCGGUUCCAUAGGUCACGUUCCAUACAUGGUGGAAGUAAGGGUCUUCUGCUUGGACCACCACCGUUGCAGCUGCGGCCAGGUAGAGACACGCGGCUAAGAGUUUAACCCCUCGCAUAUACAAUUUUUAUGUUUUUUCGUGGAGGGUAUUAAUUGAUUAUUGUUAUUGGAUUAUGUUUUGAG
rnacentral:lncRNA from 1 species